AUGUCAUGGAGGGAGAGUGUCCAAGAGCUGACUAACGUACAGGCAACAUGAAUAAUAUUUGAUAUUCUCACUUACGAACUGAAAUACUUCAAGCAUGUGGGAGAUCCCUGAAUGAGAGGAAUAAAUAUUUUGCAUUGACUUCAAUCACUGUUUACAGUGGAAAGUGAUUUCGUUUCUUGAAAGGCUAAGAUAGUGCCCAGUAGUGGGUUGCAUCGAAGAGCAUAUUGGUCAUAGUGGAGCAGCGCUUUUCCAGGUGCCAAGUGGGAUGCACAGGACCACAAGUGGACACAGCAUGACAGGGGUGGAAGAGAAAAUCUUCAGUGUCACCACACAUGUGAUGUGCUUGUCUCGCAUCAGUGUCAUUCCAGAAGAAAUCCACUGAAGUAUCAAGAAGAAAUCCAUUAAAAGUCUGUGGAAUUGCACCAGCACAAGGUGGCAAGUAGAAACGGAUCCCCUAGAGGAUAUAAUACUUUCUGCUGCCACGGACUAUCCUGUACUUACCAAAACCACUGAUUUCCUUUGAACCAAAAAAUAUUACUGUUUUCCUGAUUGAUUGAAUGUGGCUACGUAUUUCCAAAAACACACAAAGGGUCUUCAAAGUGUCUUGUGUUUUCAGUUGCAAUUGUCAUCACACUUCAAUGCAGUAUGUGCCAUGGCAUGUGUGAAAGCACAGCUGGAUUUCUCUACGAAACCAAAGAUAUUUGCUUUACAGGCCUGUACACACAGUCCACACAAUCUGCCAACAGCCAAAUGUGUUGGGCUACCAUUUCUAGUGGAGGAUCAAAGACUAUAUUUAAAUGCUUCUAAUUUGACAUCCAAGUAACUACAGACAAUCACAGGCGGUGGGAGUGGCAGCGAGUUGGCAAGAGGAAAAGGAGAUAUUAAAAGAGCGUGUUUGCUGGGUGUACAUGUGCAAAUUUGGCUGGCUGUGCAAGCCGGAUAGGUGGGAUGCAAGCUUUUUGUGCAUGGGAGUGGUGCUCUCACCUCUUGGGCUAACUCCCCUCUGUGGCAGCAGCACAGCUCUCCAUGCAGGAGAGCCUAUGCCGACCAGCUGGGAAGCAGCAGGGCUCCUGGGAAAGGGCUAUUGAGCACACCAUCUUCAAAGUCCACCCAUGGCACUCAGAUGCAUGCGGGCAGAGUGGACAACUCCCAGACCUUUUCCAGCUCUUCUUGCCUCAACAUAGAAGAGAGCAUUUUUGUCCGUGUGGUGGUGACCUGGCUUCCCAUUCCUGCCCUGCCUGGAGUCUGAAGACUGGUUUUGGCCUAGGCAGUGAAAGAGGAGAGCAUUUCUGGUUGUCUGGUGGGAAUCACCUCGCCUUCUUGCCCCAUGGUUUCCCUCUAGGGAACAAGAAAGUUUUGGCAGGAGCCAGGAAGACCUAAGGCAGAAGAAUAAGCAGGCACUUCAGUAAGUGAGGCUGGAAGCUUUUGUCUGUUUAUUUUGCAGUCUUUCCUCUUCAUGGCUUUGUGACAGGAAAGGGAAAAACUGCUUCCUGGACCACAAACAGCAACAGAAAAAGACCCUGAAAAUGAUAACUGGUGCAGAUCAAAGAAGUGUUACAUGGAACAGCCUGGAAACAGCUCCAUCUCCUCCCCUGCCCCAGAGGGAAUGUCACAUGGGGAGGUAAUGAUGCUGAAAGUGGCCUCAUUGUUGCGUUCUUUUAAUGCCAUUCUUUCAUUUCUAUAAAA